rnacentral:rRNA from 1 species
AUACGGAGGGUGCGAGCGUUAAUCGGAAUUACUGGGCGUAAAGGGUGCGUAGGCGGCUUGAUAAGUCGGAUGUGAGAGCCCCGGGCUUAACCUGGGAAUUGCAUUCGAUACUGUCAGGCUAGAGUAUGUCAGAGGUUGGCGGAAUUCCUGGUGUAGCGGUGAAAUGCGUAGAUAUCAGGAGGAACACCAGUGGCGAAGGCGGCUAACUGGGACAAUACUGACGCUGAGGCACGAAAGCGUGGGGAGCAAACAGGAUUAGAAACCCCAGUAGUCC